UAUGGAAACAGGAUAGGGAAAUGAGGAACAGAGUGCUAAGGGUAGUUGGCUAUUCCCUUCCCUUAUAAUAUUUACCAUUGCAACACAAAGUGAGAUCUGAAUUGAACACACAAGAAUUAUAACUUUUUCUCAUGACUAUCGAACAUAAAUAUUUGCGUUUGUAACAACUUUGUUUUAACGAGUUUUUAAACGUUUAAAUUUAAAACAUAAAUAUUAAAGUGAAUAAAUUGUUUCGGGCACAAUAAAAACAUUGAAAGCUCCACAUUCAAACAAAUUUUACAUAAGAAACUCGUCAGUGCGUGGCCAGUUUUCUCUACGGAUUGCAUACAUAUGUACAUAUGUGUAUGUAUACAGAUGAAUGCAACUUUACAUUAACUACGUGAAAUAUGUUUGUGCAGUUACUUCUUGUUAACAUAUUUUUAAUUAGUACAACUACAACGAUUGCUGAAAUAACAGAUACGUGAACGAUAUUUUUACCUCAUUCAUGGAUGAAGAACUACAUUACUAUUGCACUCAAUGACACAUAGUUUCUAGGAGCAAGAGGAAAUGUUGUUGUUCCCUGCAAUUUUAUUUUUUACCAUCUUCCGUAUGCCGAGGCUAAUCAACGCUCGCUUCUGUGAAGGAGGUCAUUAUUGUUCAUUACCAAGGGAAUGCUGCACGCAAGGAUGUUGUCCACCUUACCAAAGCGGCCCUCGACCACUACCGCCACCAUCUGAGCACGUCCUUAAUUUAUUUUUUGUCAGUCACUGGUUUUUUUGGUGCGUAGUUGUUGCGAUUAUUUUAGCACUACUCUGUGCGUAUUCAUUAUGGAAAAAGCGCCGAACGCUGUGUGGAUGGGGAUUCCCAGAGCAUCGCGCUCAAUCAGAGGGUGAUUCGGCCGGGUCCUGUUAUGCUCCACCCCAAUAUAGUCGCUGUAAUUCGUUUCAUCAUCCGCCACCUCCAUAUACAGAGGUUACAUCCAAACCAGACCUUUAUCCUAUUGUUUUCACAUGCAACAGUGAUAAUGCAAAAAGUGGUUCUAGUUAUCUAAUGGUGCAAUAUUUUCGGAACUACAUUGUUCGUCCAUCUUUGUCUGCGGCAAGUACAUUAGAUUCGCUUAGUUCAAGUUUUAUUUGUAAUAUCAAUGAGGCCAACACCCUUGUGCCACCGCCGUAUUCUCGUGCAGCUAGUCCAGAAAAUGGUUUAAGUACACACUUCCAACAACAGUUUCUGUUACCUCGUUCUGCCUCCCAAAUAGUAUAUGCCACUGUGGGUAAUGGAGGGAACAACAUUAUUGAAACGUACGAGAAUAAUGGCCAUAUCAAUCAACAAAUUCUUCAAAGUCAACAAAGUCGUAGUCCACACUUUACUGUCGUAGCUCUAAAUAGUUCAGUUGGCGGAAAUCAAAACAACGUAGCCAAUAUUACAAAUUCGCCGAUGUCUUACAGCACGAUCUUACAAACGUCGGUUGGUGAACAGACCAAUUUCAUCGAAGAGUCUGCGGAGGGCAAUAACAACUGCACAAGUUCCCAAAAUAAUAACGGUGAUAGUAAUAUAAUUAGUAGUGACAACAAAAGUACACGGAGUAGUGAAUGCUCUAACAAUGCUGAUGGAGGUUGCGUCCCGAAGGGUUUUAUUCAGUCUCAAAGCGAGCAACAAUUUCGGUAUUUUAACAAUAGUUUAAGUGAUAUUUUUACAAACAACACCUCAGUUGCUCCCUUUACUUAUACAAACGAUAGAGACAGUAAAUCAGUUGAGAUAAUUAAUUUCGAUAACACUAUGGUAAAUGAACAACAGGUCAAACGUGAUACUACUGUUCUAACAGAUAAUCAUUGGGCACUAGAAGAUUUUGACAACGGCCAACAAACUAACACGCAUCCUACACAGCUUGUCGUCGAAAGGAGUGUUUUUAAACCGACUUAUAAAUCAUGUGACUCAAUUACUAGUAUUCCUCAAGGAGUUUCUGGAGACACAAGCGAACAAUUAGUAGCAGAUAUUAAAGAUUUUAAUUUACUUAGACAAAGUCUAGAAACAUGUUGUCAUAUAUUACAAAAGAAGCAACAUCAACCUCAAACAACGAUAUCGGAUACUUUUAUGACUAACACUAAGGCGUACAACAGAGACGAACUGCUUAAUGCAACAGCGUCGAAUAAUUGUUCUGCGGUGAGCAGCCUUGCAAAUCUUUGCAUAGAGAGUUCGCCACCGCAAGCUACAAGUCCGACAGGAGAAGUGAGAGAGAUUCUCGACCAAAUACGUCAAUUGCAAGAAGAUAUUAGUUAUGACGACUUGUUAAUGCAUAUGAAACCGGCACUAUGUCACACAUUGUCAGCACCAAAGAAUACAGAAAUUGAGCAGACCACUACCCAGCAAAAGGCUCAUCGUAAUUCUGUUGCGUCGUGUGAAAUACAACUGAGCUCAAAUGCAAUAUUUUCUGCUAAUCCAAUAUUCUCCAAAACCAAUGUUUGCAUAGCGACGUCCCCUUUGGAUAAAGGGAAUGUAACGAUUCUAAAACCAAAAUCACAUAAUAAACCUAGGUCAUAUAAUGAUAGUGACGUUUUAUUGAAACGCCCGUUAGCGUUACACCAAAAUAAAAUGAAGUACUUCGCUUCAAAACCAAAUAAAGCUCUUUAUAUUCCAAUGAUUCCUAAUGCAAAAUCAAUGCAUUCGAGCAAAUGUCUCGCAAAAAGUCCAGUCAGCAACAUAGUGGGGACAAAGUUCUUCUCCGGUAGAGGAGGUAAAAUGCGCAGAAUUUUAGUAUCACGAUCAGCACCAACAACACCAGGCACGGCUUUGCCCUCAAAUCCACUAAGCGAUGAUAGUCCGUUACUAACAGAACCAGAUGAAGAUUCGGAAAUUAGUCAAAACGAACAUAUUGAAUAAAACGAGCAUGGACAUACGCAAGUUUUUAUAAAUAUCAAAUAAGGAUCAAAGAGUUUUUCUUUGCACAUUUUCGAUACUCUUAUUAUCGUCAACUCUACUUACAGGCAAAUCGUUUUCGAUAAUUUCACAUUGGAAAAAGUUUUUGUUACAGCUACAUAUGUAUGUAUAAACAAACGUGUACGCCGUACGUACAUGCAUAAUUAAGGACAUAUGUGUCCUAUUCGACCUUAUCAGGAAGUUACAAUGAGUACAUAUGUAUAAAUCCUUACGUCAGUCUUAAGCCCGGUUAACUGCUAAAAACUGAUUCACAUAAGAUUCUUGUCUCAGAUUUGCGAUUUGACAAAUAUAUUCGAAUUGUGCAUUUAUGUAUGUGAGUAGACCUAAAAAGUGAGGAGAGGAUAGGUGAAUCAAUUUAAAGCAAAAUGUUACCGAACAUUCAACUUUUCUGCGUUUCAUAAUUUUACAGACUUUUUGCCUCACUACUGUCACUGUCAGCAAUUUUCUUUAUAUUUAAUAAAAAAAAAAUGCUGGGUAUGUCCAUCAACUAAUAGCGAUUCGUGUGAAUUUGAUAAAGAUUCAAGGGAAGGCUAAUACGAUGAGGACAUGUGUGCAAAUAUUUAAGAUAAUAUUAAAUGCUGUUGGUCCCCGAAAGUUUGUGCCUAAAGUAAACUUAUUAUGCUGCUUAUAAGCUUUGGUAUCAGCAUGAAUCAAUAUCUGCAAAAGCUAAUAUAUUUCUACGAAGGCCUAUGUUUUUUCUCUUAUGGACAGAGUUCUUUGGUUUGACGGAAUAAUUAG